GGCCCCGCACAAGCGGUGGAGCAUGUGGUUUAAUUCGAUGAUACGCGAGGAACCUUACCAGGGCUUAAAUGCAGUUGGACAGGUCUGGAAACAGACCCUUCUUCGGACUAAUUGCAAGGUGCUGCAUGGUUGUCGUCAGCUCGUGCCGUGAGGUGUCAGGUUAAGUCCUAUAACGAGCGCAACCCCUGUGGUUAGUUGCCAGCGAGUCAUGUCGGGAACUCUAGCGAGACUGCCGGUGCAAACCGUGAGGAAGGUGGGGAUGACGUCAAAUCAUCACGGCCCUUACGUCCUGGGCCACACACGUGCUACAAUGGUAGGGACAGAGGGCAGCUACCCCGCGAGGGGAUGCGAAUCUUCAAACCCUAUCACAGUUCGGAUCGCAGUCUGCAACUCGACUGCGUGAAGCUGGAAUCGCUAGUAAUCG
rnacentral:rRNA from 1 species